UACGGGGGGGCAAGCGUUGUUCGGAAUUACUGGGCGUAAAGGGCUCGUAGGCGGCCAACUAAGUCAGACGAUUGAAAUCCCUCGGCUUAACCGGGGAACUGCCGUCUGAUACUGGAUGGCUUGAAUCCGGGAGAGGGAGUGCGGAAUUCAGGUGUAGCGGUGAAAUGCGUAGAUAUCUGGAGGAACACCGGAUGGCGAAGGCGGCAAUCCUGGACCGGCAUUGACGCUGAGGAGCGAAAAGCCAGGGGA
rnacentral:rRNA from 1 species